GUCAAAACCUUAAACAUGUAUAGGUGCACACUGAAUCCAUAGCUACGUGCUUGCCUGGGGAUGUGGGGCAAAGCACAUGUUGGGCUGUGAGCUACACCUCUACUCUCCCAUUUUGUAGUGUGGAUAUAGCAAAAGCACCUGGGAAUGUGUUUAGAUAUGCUGUCAAUGCCAUUCCCAAAAUUCCUGGUACCUGCAUGCUCUGGCCCUUCUACCUACCCACCUUGUCACCCACUAUGUACCAGAUACUACUGCUGGUUUAUACACAGUUGCUCGGCAUUUAAUCCUUCAUUUCCAUGCAACCUGCUCAUUUCUGCACAGCUCAACUGUGCCUAAUAGGAAGAGGCACAUCAUCAGCAUUGUGCUGUUUGUUGGCUGCAGGAGCACUCCCGGGUUCUGGUUAACCUCUAGUGUGAGUACAGCAAGCAUUAUGAGUUUGGAAGGGGUAUCCAGAACAUCCACGUAUGAGAGCAUCAUGAAGAAGCUGGCAGAAAUGGGCUUAUCCGGACUGGUGUGCAGCACAGGGAGCGCAUCAAGCACUUAAAGCUGAGGAUGGCAACAGCAGGUCUGGCAACUCCCUAUCUAUAUGCCCUUUCUACAAGGAGUUUGGACCAGGUGCUUGCCACUGCCCUGAGCACAGAGCCCACUGUCCUUCUUGACAUACUUCCAAAUGCAGACCAUCUUAUGUUCAGACCAGAGCAAGGGUGUAAAAGAACUCUGGGGAUGGCACUGGCCAACAUCACAAUGAACUCCCAUAAACAGACUGUGGAGCAGGAAGCCUAGGAUCAGUCCACGUGGCCGGAUGGGCUAGUGGGUGUCCUGGGUGAAUUUUCAGAGGAUCUGUUCUGACAUGGGCCCAGGGAACAGUCCGGAGAGGAAGCAAUGCGGGACCAGGAAUCGGAUCCAUAGUCUGGCAUUUCCACAUCAGCUGCACCAACAUUACUACACUGGACUCUUAGAACCCUCAACCAGCAUGGGAGGAGGAAAAAGGUCAGAUGAGAUGUCCUGUGACCUGGGAUACAAGAGAGAAAAAUACCAAAAAGCAGAGGAGUGGGAAGAAAAUGCUCAACCAAUUCCUCAGACAUGACCAAAGGAAUAGGGCUCAAGCCCAGCUUCUGUUAGACAGACAGUUCACCAUGAUGGCCAACAGGGUGCAGCUGCCAGUAUCAGCUCCACAGCCACCUUCAUUGCCAGCUCUGCUGUUGACUCCUGUACCAUCACCAGUGCUUGCAGACUCUUCUCUGUGGUACCACAUCAUGCAGCCAGUGCAGCGACUGGCAAACUCAGACUGACCAACCAGAGAACAACUCUAUGAAUUGGAAUGAGCAGAUGUACCCUGUGUACUCCAUCCCUGUACAGUGCAGUCGCCAUGUUUGGCCAGGGAGGAGGAGAACAGGAGGCACAUUUGACAUCCAGUUCCAUUAUAAGCAAGACUGACUGUGAAGCUUGGACUUCAGUUAAUUGUACUGUUUCACAAACCGUUAGCACUUUAUUUAACUUUGCACAUUUGUCAAUAAUUGUUUAUGGCCAGUGGGCUGGUAUGCUUGCAAUAGUUUUACUAUUACUUUGUUUUGUUUUCUUUGGGUUUUGUUAAUAAAUGAUUUGGUCACACAA